UAUGUAGGCCAUUCACAGGGUACUACUAUUGGUUUCAUAACAUUUUCUACUAUAUCAAAGAUAGCUGAAAGAAUCAAAAUAUUUUUUGCUUUAGCACCAGUUUUUUCCACAAAGUACUUAAAAAGUCCUUUAAUUAGAAUGACAUACAAAUGGAAGUCAAUAGUCAUGAGUCGUUUGGAUGUGUAUUUUUCACACAACCCAGCAGGAACAUCUGUUCAAAAUAUGCUUCAUUGGAGUCAGCUUUUAAAUUCUACUCAUUUGAAAGCUUAUGACUGGGGCAGUCCUGAUCUGAACUUGGUUCAUUAUAAUCAGACAACGUCUCCAUUAUACAACAUGACAAACAUGAAUGUGGCAACUGCAAUUUGGAAUGGUAAAAGUGACUUGUUGGCUGACCCUGAAGACGUUAACAUUUUACAUUCUGAAAUCACAAACCACAUUUAUUAUAAAACUAUUUCUUACUAC
rnacentral:lncRNA from 1 species